rnacentral:rRNA from 1 species
CGAACGCUGGCGGCAUGCCUAACACAUGCAAGUCGAACGAACCCUUCGGGGUUAGUGGCGCACGGGUGCGUAACGCGUGGGGAUCUGCCCUUUGCUUCGGAAUAACAGUUAGAAAUGACUGCUAAUACCGGAUGAUGUCGCAAGACCAAAGAUUUAUCGGCAAAGGAUGAACCCGCGUAGGAUUAGCUAGUUGGUGGGGUAAAGGCCUACCAAGGCGACGAUCCUUAGCUGGUCUGAGAGGAUGAUCAGCCACACUGAGACUGAGACACGGCCCAGACUCCUACGGGAGGCAGCAGUGGGGAAUAUUGGACAAUGGGCGAAAGCCUGAUCCAGUAAUGCCGCGUGAGUGAUGAAGGCCUUAGGGUUGUAAAGCUCUUUUACCAGGGAUGAUAAUGACAGUACCUGGAGAAUAAGCUCCGGCUAACUCUGUGCCAGCAGCCACGGUAAUCUGAUGGCGCGAGG